rnacentral:rRNA from 1 species
GACAGAGGGUGCAAGCGUUAAUCGGAAUUAUUGGGCGUAAAGCGCGCGUAGGUGGAUUGGUAAGUUGGAUGUGAAAUCCCUGGGCUUAACCUGGGAAUUGCAUUCAAUACUGCUAAUCUAGAGUACAGUAGAGGGAAGUGGAAUUUCCGGUGUAGCAGUGAAAUGCGUAGAUAUCGGAAGGAACAUCAGUGGCGAAGGCGACUUCCUGGGCUGAUACUGACACUGAGGCGCGAAAGCGUGGGGAGCAAACAGG